rnacentral:tRNA from 1 species
CGGGCCGUAGCGCAGCUUGGUAGCGCGCUUGCUUGGGGUGCAAGAGGUCGAGAGUUCAAAUCUCUCCGGCCCGACCA